rnacentral:tRNA from 1 species
GGAUGUAGCUCAGUAGUAGAGCAUUUGCCUAGCAUGCUUGAGGCCCUGGGUUCAAUCCCAGCAACGCG